UACGGAAGGCAGCAGUGGGGAAUAUUGCACAAUGGGCGCAAGCCUGAUGCAGCCAUGCCGCGUGUAUGAAAAAGGCCUUCGGGUUGUAAGGUACUUUCAGUCGUGAGGAAGGUGUUAAGGUUAAUAACCUUAGCAAUUGACGUUAGCGACAGAAGAAGCACCGGCUAACUCCGUGCCAGCAGCCGCGGUAAUACGGAGGGUGCGAGCGUUAAUCGGAAUUACUGGGCGUAAAGGGCACGCAGGCGGUUAAUUAAGUUGGAUGUGAAAUCCCCGGGCUUAACCUGGGAAUGGCAUUCAAGACUGGUUAGCUAGAGUCUUGUAGAGGGGGUAGGAAUUCCAUGUGUAGCGGUGAAAUGCGUAGAGAUGUGGAGGAAUACCGGUGGCGAAGGCGGCCCCUGGACAAAGACUGACGCUCAUGUGCGAAAGCGUGGGGAGCAAACAGGGAUUAGAUACC
rnacentral:rRNA from 1 species